rfam:Oryza sativa Japonica Group DNA, chromosome 4, cultivar: Nipponbare, complete sequence.
AAUGUAUGACGCCGUUGAUUUUUUGACAAACAUUUGACCUUUCGUCUUAUUUAAAAAAUUUAUGUAAUUAUAAUUUAUUUUAUUAUGACUUGAUUUAUCAUCAAAUAUUCUUUAAGCAUGAUGUAAGUAUUUUUAUAUUUGCAUAAAAAUUUUGAAUAAGACGGAUGGUUAAACGUUGGUCAAAAAGUCAACGGUG